GGCACCCGGAAAAAUUUAAAUCUGAAUAAAAAAUCCGAAUAUUUUGAAAACUAAACUUUACACAAUACUAGGGAAUCCAUCUUUUUACAAAAUGUAACGUAAGGGCGGAUCGUUCGAUCCUGAGGAAUUCAUCCUUUUACGAAAUGUAACGUAAAGAAGGGUUGUUCGAUACUAGGGAAUUAAUCCCUUUACGAAAUAUAACGCAAAUGCGUUUUGUAGAAUACUAGGGAAUUCAUCUUUCUACGAAAUUUAACGUAAAGGCGGUUUGUUCAAUCCUGAGGAAUUAUUCCUUUUACGAAAUUUAACGUAAAGGUAGUUUCAUCGAUCAUAGGGAAUUCAUCGUAUUGAGAUAUGUAAUGUAAAGGCCG